rnacentral:rRNA from 1 species
GACUCUCGGCAACGGAUAUCUCGGCUCUUGCAUCGAUGAAGAACGUAGCGAAAUGCGAUACUUGGUGUGAAUUGCAGAAUCCCGUGAACCAUCGAGUCUUUGAACGCAAGUUGCGCCCGAAGCCUUUACGGUCGAGGGCACGCCUGCCUGGGCGUCACACACACAG